GUAGGGCGUGGUGGCGCACUCCUUUAAUCCCAGCACUCGGGAGGCAGAGGCAGGCGGAUUUCUGAGUUCGAGGUCAGCCUGGUCUACAAAGUGAGUUCCAGGACAGCCAGGGCUACACAGAGAAACCCUGUCUCGAAAAACAAAACAAAACAAAACAAAAAAACCCAAAUGAAUCUUUUUGUUUGUUCUUUUGGGACAGAGUUUCUCUGUGUAACUCUGACUGUCCUGGAACUCACUCUGUAGAGCAGGCUGGUCUCGAACUCACAGAGAUUCUCCUGCCUCU
rnacentral:sRNA from 1 species